GCCUGCAGCUUGACUUGUAGGUACAGCCUGCCCAAUGAUUAAUUUAACGGCCGCAGUAUUUUGACUGUGCAAAGGUAGCAUAAUCAUUUGUCUCUUAAUUAGAGGCUGGUAUGAAUGGCUAGACGUGGAAAUAACUGUGUCACAGGCUAAAUCUAAACUUAAUCUUUAAGUUAAAAAGCUUAAAUUUUAUAGCAGGACGAGAAGACCCCAUAGAUCUUCAUAUUGAUACCUUUUUAAAAACUAGUAGUUACUACAAUAAAGGCUAGGAAUAUUUAGUUGGGGUGACGCGAAGUCUUAAACACUUCUUUCUCAAACAAAUAUUUUAGGACAAAUGACCCGGUGUACCGAUUAAAAAAUUAAGUUACCUUGGGGAUAACAGCGUAAUCUGCCUUUAGAGUCCUUAUCAAACGGCAGGUUUGCGACCUCGAUGUUGGAUUAAGAGUCUCAUUACGAGCAGCUCCGUAAAUGAGGGGUCUGUUCGACCCAUAAAUUCUUACAUGAUCU
rnacentral:rRNA from 1 species